rnacentral:lncRNA from 1 species
CGCUAUGGGUCUCAUUGGAUUCUAUGGGUCGCUAUGGGUCUCAUUGGAUUCUAUGGGUCGCUAUGGGUCUCAUUGGAUUCUAUGGGUCUCUAUGGGUCUCUAUGGGUCGCUAUGGGUCUCAUUGGAUUCUAUGGGUCUCUAUGGGUCUCAUUGGAUUCUAUGGGUCUCUAUGGGUCUCAUUGGAUUCUAUGGGUCACUAUGGGUCUCAUUGUAUUCUAUGGGUCGCUAUGGGUCUCAUUGUAUUCUAUGGGUCGCUAUGGGUCUCAAUGGAUUCUAUGGGUCUCUAUGGGUCUCACUGGAUUCUAUGGGUCUCUAUGGGUCUCUAUGGGUCGCUAUGGGUUUCAUUGGAUUCUAUGGGUUGCUAUGGGUCUCUAUGGGUCGCUAUGGGUCUCAUUGGAUUCUAUGGGUCUCUAUGGGUCUCUAUGGGUCUCUAUGGGUCUCUAUGGGUCGCUAUGGGGCUGAUGCUGUGUCCCCCCCCCCCCAGGACGUGUUCUCCUUCAUCUUCGAUGGGAUCCCCCCCUCCCUGCACGGUGUGGGGCUGCGGGGUGACCCACAACUGCUGGGGGCCUUCUGUGGGGGGGGGCCCUCCCAGCCCCACACAUUGGUGGCCCGCUCAGGUGUGGCUGUCAUAUACUCUGCCCCCCCCGCCGUGGGGCUGAACGUCACUGUCCGUCUGUGUGGGGCGGGGCCGGGGGGUGGGGCCGACUGUGGGGCGGAGCCUGAGGAGACCACGCCCCCUUCAGUGCACACUGACCAAUGGGAGCAAGAGGAGGAGUGUAAUGAGACCCGGUGCCUGGAGCCGUGGAGCGUCCAAUGGGAGCAGCUGGGGGCGGAGCAUAAAGGAGCCUCCGGCUCCUUCCUGGGUCGCUUUGGUCACUCCCUAUUGGCUGCCGCUGGCCCCGCCCCCUUUGGCCCCGCCCUCUGGCUCUAUGGCGGCCUGUCGCUGCAGCAAGGCAUGCUGGGAACGCUCUACAGGUCUGUCAAUCAAAACCCUUUAAACCCCGCCCCCCUUUAAGCCCCGCCCCC